rnacentral:rRNA from 1 species
CUCUUUCUUGAUUCGGUGGGUGGUGGUGCAUGGCCGUUCUUAGUUGGUGGAGCGAUUUGUCUGGUUAAUUCCGAUAACGAACGAGACUCUAGCCUGCUAAAUAGGUGGCUGGUUUUUUGAAAUCGCAAGAUUUUUGGGUUCGCAGUCUCUUUGGAUCAGGGUGGCGGGGUUUGGUUCGCGGCGGCGGGCGUCACGUUGCGUGCCUCGGUGCGUGGCGGGGCGUUCGUCGUCCGGGCCGGCACCGUCACCCCCGAAGAGCCAGCUGCGUUCUCGCGUCAGUCACGACUCUUCUUAGAGGGACAAGCGGCGUUUAGCCGCGUGACAGUGAGCAAUAACAGGUCUGUGAUGCCCUUAGAUGUCCUGGGCCGCACGCGCGCUACACUGAAGGAAUCAGCGUGUUUUUCUCCCCCUGUCCGAGAGGACCGGGUA